rnacentral:sRNA from 1 species
GCUGGGCGUGGUGGCCCACGUCUGAAGUCCCAGCAGCUGGGGAGGCUGAGGCAGGAGGAUGGAGAGUUCAAAGCCAGCCUCAG